rnacentral:lncRNA from 1 species
UUUAAAGAUAAUAUAGAUCAACUAAACUAUUAUCAGAGAUAUCGAAAAACUCAUAGAUCAAGAGAAUUUAUGGCCAAGCAACAAAAUUACUCCAUAUGACUCAUGGAUCAUCAUAGAGUACAAUAAUAAAGAAGAAAAACAAAGUAUGAUCGUGUAAAGGUGAACAGAAAAAAACAGUUUUGGUUUUCUAGGGUUAGUUGUUAUCAGCACGAGUUAUCAACUCAAGAGUAGAGUCGUGCUGAUAACGUGUUGUAAAGUAAAGAAAAGAAGAAGAGAAGACACAGAGAGAAUAGUUGGGAGGAGGCAUAAGUCUACUCAUUCAUUCUCAUUAGCCUCUUUAUAUAGAGAUAGGGUUUACAUCAUAGUACAUAACUAAUGAGUAAUUACGUGGACAACCACAUAGAUUAUAAAAUUUAUAACAGUUUUAAGUUAAGUAUAAUGUAUAAGCAUGUAUUUUAUAUAUGACAAAAAUAGAGUGUAUUACAUAUAAGUGAUAUAAUCCUUGAGAAAAUUUUGAGAAAAAAAAUAAUAAUUUAAAACUAGCUCAUUUUGGCCAUAUUUAGCCUUAUUUAAAAGGCCGGCCCAACCCGGUUUUUAGCCCUAAUGAAAUGGGCAUUUAGGGCGGGUAAGGGUUUAUAUUUUUAAGCCUCGGCCUUAAGUUUUAUUGACUAAGUCAAAGCCCUACCCAGCCCUACCCUAAGCCCUAAAAUUUAGGGUAGGGUCGGUCCUAGCCUAGCCCAUGAUGAGACUUAUGACUCUAUACAUUACCAAUUGGUUUUCAAUGUGAACCUCAAAGUACUUCAUCAUAGUAUCAAAGCGGGUUACCCACAUAUAUGUAUGAAUGCAUAACAGCCACACGAACUCCACAUCGCCUAAACACGUUGGGGGGGUGUGUUGAGAUAUAAAUUUCAUACCGAGAAUUGAGACAUUGUAUAUGAGUUUAUAAGGAUUUGAGCCUUUGUAUGCAUUGUCAAUUGGUUUUUGAUUUAAACCCCAAAUUAUUUAUUAUGUUAAUUGCAUGAUGUUUCUUGUCUCCAUUAGAUGACCUCAAACAUCUUCUUUUCAGCCAAGCUUGUGGUAAAUUGCGAGAAAUCGAGUUUACAAAGAAUGCAACUCUGUUUUAGUCUUUUAAAGAGGCAAAUACGUUAGAGCACAAUUUUUUUACGUUCGCUUCAUUAUCAGGAAAAAUAAUUUUUGCGCGCAGUUGAGCUCAGGAAACAUUGUACUAAGAAAAUAAAAUUGUCACCAGACCAAAUGGACAUGGAUAUUAGACUGGUAGGCCAAUUAUCACAUCAAGAAUGAAGUGUGAAAUGACAUAGGUCGGGACAAUUUGUAGCAUGUGAAAAUUCUGAUUUUCACUUAUUUUACAUUUCAACUCAAUCAUGGGAUCAAUUUAUUUUCAAAAUAUAUUUCAUGUGAAUUUGAAGCCUCAGAAGUAUGUAUUUUUGUAUGAUUUCUUAUCUAUUUCAGUUUUGAAGAGAAUGUGUCUUAUUUAAUUAAUCAAAACUGAAAAUUUUUAGAGUAUAUAACCCUAGAAAAACCACAUCAGUAAAAUCACGACCUCAGUUUUCAAGUAUUAUUGAUGCUAGGAUUCUAGUUUCAGAUAAACCACAUCAGUAAAAUCACCACCUACACACAGCAUGAUAAACUGCUAACUGCAUACUGAGUUGGCUCAAACCCAGACACCCUCAUCUAGUCAUCUCAAAAAACAUUUUCCAAGCUUCGCCUGACACGACCCACCCCGAAUUUCACCCUGAAACCCAGAGUAAGUCGUGCGGGGACCACCUCCAAGGAAAAUUUACUGAAAAGAUUAAGCAAAUCUCCCUUGCAGAUGGACAACCCUAACUCGAAAAUUUCAUCUUACACUCUUAAUUCAACACUUCCGAACAUCACAUAAUAUACAAAAAUUCUAAAGUAUUCAGAGCUACUAAACACAAGCGGAAGCAAGAAAACACGAGUAGGUUGAACAGGUAACCUACUGAUGAAAACUGGCCGAAAAGCGGGUGACUAUGCCUCGUCUCCUACUAGAUCCAACCCGAACUCUGCAGACUGGGCAAUUUAAAACGAAGGGUCCAGGGGAAAACAUUUAAUAACGUUAGAGUGAGUGGACAAAAAUAAAUUAAUAAAUAAAAUAUUUAUGUUUCCCCAAAUUAAUUUCUAAGGAAAAAAUCGAAUGCAUNNNNN